rnacentral:sRNA from 1 species
GGUCCGCGGCGCGGUCGGUCGGCGCCUAUUCUCGGGCUCUUUGGCGGACGAAGCUUCACAAAAGAUGUCUAAGCAACAGCCAACUCAGUUUAUAAAUCCAGAAACACCUGGCUAUGUUGGAUUUGCAAAUCUCCCCAAUCAAGUUCACCGAAAAUCAGUGAAAAAAGGUUUUGAGUUCACACUGAUGGUGGUCGGUGAAUCAGGUCUAGGAAAAUCGACUCUCAUAAACAGCCUAUUCCUAACUGAUCUCUACCCAGAAAGAGUCAUACCUGGAGCAGCAGUUUGUUUCUUUUCUAGAAAAAAUUGAAAGAACUGUCCAGAUUGAGGCUUCAACUGUUGAAAUUGAAGAGCGAGGGGUCAAGCUACGCCUGACAGUGGUAGAUACCCCUGGCUAUGGUGACGCUAUCAACUGCAGAGAUUGGUAUGCACCCCCGUGCCCAGGGAUCUACAUUUGUUUACUUAAUGUACUUAAAUUUAUAGAUAUUGUUAAUGAGUGAUUAUUAAGUUUGGGAUUGCUGUAUAUAAUAAAACAGCUAGACAAUUUAAAGCACGUUAAAUGUUGACUUUUUAAAUAAGGAAUUUUAUAGAGAGUAAUUUUUUUCUGGUACUCUACUGCGAUUUGAGAUCGCAAAGCCAGUCAUCCAUAGACUGCUAGU